CUCUUUUCUAAAUUUCUCCAUGGCAGAAGAAUAUUUUGUCACCUUGCCCAUUUUGGUCUAUUUUCAGCCUUUUCAUCAGCCAUGUCCAGGGGCUUGCACGUCUUAAUUCAAGUAAAAUUUUUUGCUUUUGGCUUAUAUCAGUUCCCAGAAGCAAUACUCUUCAAAUCUAUGUAUCAAAGAGAGUCAAAAAUCCCUGAUUCAAACCAAGGCUCCACUAUUUCGAGUAAGAUCUUAAAUCAAAUCUUCAAUACAAGACAAGCCUUGGUGCAUUCGAGCAAGUUUGACCUAUGUUUACUUCUAAUCGUCCCUUUAAGAUUUCCUUUUCUAACAAAGAGAUAUGCUUUUCGCUCUGUUCAAAAAAUAGCUAUGAGAUUCGUUCAUAGAGAUUUCUUACCGUUUGAAAAUCCUCGUCUUUAAGAAUCCCGCCCAAAAACAUCCCAAAGAACCUAGCUUGUAGCUAUAAAUACCAUCCUUGGGCUUCAUUUCAAAGAGGAGUGGAACAAUAUGUCACACCAGAAACCACUUUUUUUUUCUAAGAUUUUUGUUCUGGAUGUGUUCACACAAGUCGACUAUUGAGUAUAGAUCUAUGACCCAAGUCCCAGUUUGCUGCACCCAAAAAAGGUUCUAGGCCAAAAGUUAUUGUUUUACUUCAUACAUUACAAAUUUGGACUUGUGCUUGUACAACUGGAUAGUAGAAAACCAUGCCAUAAGUCUUCAUUUUUUUAUCCAAGAAACUGAAUACAAAGGUUGUCAUAUUUGUUGGGAUAUUUUUGUGUGUUGAGAAGCCAUGCGGUAGUUUUGGCCAUCUGUCAUUGAAUGUCCAAGGGAUAAGAAGAGUCAUCAUAUUGAAUCUAUAGCUUAAUGCUUUAAUGGCAUGGGUUAAAAUGUAUGAAACACUGCUCUUGGAAUUCUCUUACGUUUAAUUAUAUUUGGAUUUGUGAAAUCUGCAUUAACAGGUAGUUGCAUUGUUUUCUAGUUUAAUAUCGAGUCCUAAAUUGAAGCGUGUUAGCUACAGCACUAUAAACAGCCUUUCCACAAUUAACUGAAUGAAUUGUAGAUAUUACAUAGGUCCAUGUAAAUUUAUGCUUUCAAUGUCUAAGAAGUCUUAGUGAAUGUCACCAGUUUAACGAUAAACAUGAGUUGCUUGGGUUUAGUCUAAACUAGGUAACGUGAGAUGUUUAUCUACUGUCUUGGGAUGCACUUGAAUAUAUUAGCCAACAGAUUUUUUUUUUAAUCAUCACAUAGUUAUAGAAGAACGUAUGUGUUCAUAAGGUAUUCACAUGACUUUUAUAAUUUGAUUCAGUCCACUUUCUGCUUACUGUUAAGGUGUUUAUAUGGGGGUUAGAAUUCAUAUGACUCUAUAUUUGCCUUAUCUAAUAGUUGCAUUUCUAAUUCCUACUGUCUUCCUUUUUUUUUUUUGUUACAUGUACACCACAGGAGCAAUUGGAGUCUUCAUAAGAAGACUCUCGCUGCCACUAGAAGUCCCAUCCUGAGACUCGGUAUCACCGCUAGAUUUUGAACCCGUGUUUGUCUUGCAUUCAGUUCUCUCCCUCUCUUGAAAACAUUUGACCAAAUGCAAGGAGAAGAGGGGACUACUGUUGCAUUUUUUGCUCGUCUUAAGUUUACUAACCAUUUUGUUUUCUUAUUUGUGAAUGUUUAUUUGAUUCGCUUAUGGUUAUCGACCCUAGAACACCUAGAUUUAGAGGGGUAGUUGACAUAAGCUAGAAGCUCUUAGUUAACCUUUUUUUUUUCUUCUUAUUUUUGAGUUACUUAUAAUACCUAUAACGUUUUCUUUGAAACAUUUAAGUCUAUACUUGUGACUUCUUUUUCUUAUCACUGUAAGCUUUGCAAGAGAGAGAUGUGAAUCAAGUUUUGACCAGAGAACUGAUUUUCAGAACUUGAGCAUAUUUCUUUGAAUUAAGAGGACAAACUUUCCUUUAUGAUUAAAAGAUGAAACUUCAUCUGAUAAGCAAA